AUCAACCCCUGGGGGAGGCGAGAGCCUGAGAGUCCCGUCCCGAUAUUUUCGGGAUUAUCGGGAGACCCCUUGAACCUGAUACGGGUAAUACCGGCGUAGGAAUUAGGGACUGUUGACCGUA
rnacentral:ncRNA from 2 species